GACGAACGCUGGCGGCGUGCUUAACACAUGCAAGUCGAGCGGUAAGGCCCUUUCGGGGGUACACGAGCGGCGAACGGGUGAGUAACACGUGGGUGACCUGCCCUCAGCUCUGGGAUAAGCCUGGGAAACCGGGUCUAAUACUGGAUAUGACUCCAUGACGCAUGUUGUGGGGUGGAAAGCCUUGUGCGGCUGAGGAUGGGCCCGCGGCCUAUCAGCUUGUUGGUGGGGGAUGGCCUACCAAGGCGACGACGGGUAGCCGGCCUGAGAGGGCGACCGGCCACACUGGGACUGAGACACGGCCCAGACUCCUACGGGAGGCAGCAGUAGGGAAUCUUCCGCAAUGGACGAAAGUCUGACGGAGCAACGCCGCGUGAGCG
rnacentral:rRNA from 1 species